CCUACGGGUGGCAGCAGUGAGGAAUAUUGGUCAAUGGGCGAGAGCCUGAACCAGCCAAGUCGCGUGAGGGAUGAAGGUCUUCGGAUCGGAAACCUCGGUCAGCAGGGAAGAACGGUCACUGGGCUAAGCAGCAGUGAAUGGACGGUACCGGCAAAGGAAGAACCGGCUAACUCCGAGCCAGCAGCCGCGGUAAUACGGAGGGUGCGAGCGUUAAUCGGAAUUACUGGGCGUAAAGCGAUCGUAGGCGGUAUGUCAAGUCAAGCGUGCAAUCCCCGCGCUCAACGUGGGAACUGCCUUUGAAACUGGCCACCUGGAGUGUGUUAGAGGAUAGUGGAAUUCCUGGUGU
rnacentral:rRNA from 1 species